GGCGGACGGGUGAGUAACGCGUAAAGAACUUGCCCUUUAGACUGGGAUAACGGAGGGAAACUUCUGAUAAUACUGGAUAAGUUAGUAUAUCGCAUGAUAUGCAAAUGAAAGCUACGGCACUAAAGGAGAGCUUUGCGUCCUAUUAGCUAGUUGGUAAGGUAAGAGCUUACCAAGGCGAUGAUAGGUAGCCGGCCUGAGAGGGUGGACGGCCACAAGGGGACUGAGAUACGGCCCUUACUCCUACGGGAGGCAGCAGCC
rnacentral:rRNA from 1 species